rnacentral:rRNA from 1 species
UACGGAGGGGGCUAGCGUUGUUCGGAAUUACUGGGCGUAAAGCGCACGUAGGCGGCUUUGUAAGUUAGAGGUGAAAGCCCGGGGCUCAACUCCGGAAUUGCCUUUAAGACUGCAUCGCUAGAAUUGUGGAGAGGUAAGUGGAAUUCCGAGUGUAGAGGUGAAAUUCGUAGAUAUUCGGAAGAACACCGGUGGCGAAGGCGGCGACCUGGUCCGAUACUGACGCUGAGGCGCGAAAGCGUGGGGAGCAAACAGG